UUUGUGGGUGCCAGUGUGUGAGUGUGUGUGUGUGUGUCCUCACUAAAUAUUAUAGUUAAAGUGAAAUUCACAAGUCCUCCAGCUGUGGCUGACACUGGUAUAAAAUGAAAAGGUUGAGAAGGUGAGACUAGUUGUCAUACAGCAACCUUGAAGUGCCUUUCCGGGUGGCACUGCCUGCUAUGUGAAGGCUCAUUUGCUGAAUGACCAUCACUACGUCAACACAAAUUGAGAUCUCAGCAUUGAUUUAUCGGUGUGUGUCCCAGAAAGACACACUGCAUUUCAGCAUCACGGUAUUCUGAUGUAGUUAGGUUCUGAAUUCUCUGAGCCACAGACGAUGGUAUGUUUCUCCUCUCUGAAGCUCUGCUAAUGCCUCGUCCCUAUUUCCCUGAAAUAUGGUUUCCCCCAUCAGUUUUCAACCUUUUCGUUUCCCCAGGCAAUCUUUUGAUGAUUCUUUAAGGUCCCCAGAUCCACAGAAUGUGACAGCUGGGAUGAGCUUCCGGGGGUGCCGAUUGGAAGCUUUACAGGCUCUAAAACUUGCUACUGAAUCUCAGCUCUGGCAUUAGUCGGUGUUCUUUGAUUUCAGGAGGACAUAGCAAACGAGCUGAGGAAGGUGAAUGCUGCAACCCUCUCUCCUCAGCCCUGCAGCCGAUCCCUGACAUAAACUCCUUGAAGUUCAGUGGCCUCUUUCCAUGCACCUACCACCUACACCUGCUGCUUUCAAAGAAACCACAACCUGGACCGGGAACAGAACUGGACGUGCCAAAAUGCCUGAGGACACUUCAUCGAAUGUGGCUGGCUUGAUGGGAAGCUGGCAUGACUAGAAAUGUCAGGAGUCUUCCCUCUCGAGGUUUCAAGCUUUGUGUUUCUGACUCAAUGGUCCGGAUUGAGAUCAGAUGAGUCAAGUUCAGAUGACCAUGCAAACCUUUAGAUGGGGCCUAAAACCAAAUCUGUGUUCUCAAACCAUUCCAAAUGUGUUCAUCACCAGUUAUAGUUUACCAUACCACCCAAUCCAAGAGAGUGCAGUCAUUUCUCUAAUAGCAGAUGCAUAAUUUUCUCAUCAAUGGAAAAUCUAAGUGUACAUCACAAGGUCAAAAGUUGCGAGAAACUUGACACCUUCGAGAUUGUGCCAAACCUCAAGCUUGCAGUAAUAAGGGCUCUCAGUCAAACCUUCUGAGAAUGAAGUGUAUUUGACCCAACGUUUAGCAUAAGCAAGCACGUACUAUGCUGUCCCUUUACGAUGGCUGAAUUCUUGGCUAGACUAUGAAGGAACACAACAGCCUAAGCAAAGCCUAUAUAAAACAUCAACCCACGGUCAUGGCCCAAUGAGAUAUAGAGAUAUUGUUGAAAUCCAAGAAAGUGAAACAAAAAUCCUGAGCCUUAUUCGCUAAAUUCCCUUAAUUGUGACACACUAAACAAGUAACAGUCAUUAGUUCUAGUAUCAUGUAAGUACAACAUUCUAAAAUGGCUACUACAGAUAUCAAAAGCAUUAAUUCAAUGUACACUUACUGGGCACCCACUGUGUGCUAGGGGAAGUGUGCUAGGGUAAUGGAGAUUCACCAUGGAACUUCCUUUUAUUUUCCCUCACUGCCUUUCUCUUUUCAAAUAUUUAAUGACCAUCCACUGCGUCCCAGAAGUUGCCAGGCCUGGGGCAGGAGAUUCUCUCUCCUUAAGGCCCCUGUGUCCCAGCUGGGAGUGACAGAUACAUCAACCAAUAAAUAACAUGGUGGGAAAAGUCCAUUAAUAAUGAUGUGCACACAGUCCUUAGGGGUAUCCUUGACCAUCAUGCUCCAGCUUAGAUCUCUGAAAACGACCUUUUGGCUGUUACUGAGGAUGUCAGCAAUAAAACUGGAUCCUAAAGAAACCAUUCAUGAUGAUAUAUCCUUAUUGGAAUUGACAAUGCAUGAGGAAAUCACACAUGUAGGUCCCAACUGAUAAAGCAUUAUCCAUCCAUUAAGUUAGACAGGAGAGGUGGCUUAAUGUCAAUAACAUAUCUCAGAAAAAAAAUGUGCUUAUCUCUUGAUUUUUGUAGAUCAAAUCCCACUAGAGGAAUUGGGUAUGUUUGUAGACCCAACCACUUACAUUGAUAAGGCAGUUUUCAAAGUGCUUUUAUAAGUAUUUGCUCAUUGGGUCCUCAGAGUAACCCUGGAGGUAGCUGGUGGCUCACCAGUGUGGCAUGGUUGUGAUGAGGACUACUGUACCAUGCUCUUCGUCAAGCAAAAGGCAGACAGUCACUCUCCACCUUUUUAUAGAUAGAUUGACUGAUUGAUUGAGAUGAGUCUCACUAUGUUGCCCAGGCUGGUCUUCAACUCCUGGGCUCAAGUGAUCUCUCUGCCUUAGCCUCACGAGUACCUGAGACUACAGGUGCGAGCCACCAUGCCUGGCUCAUUCUUCAUUUUAAAAGCAUAAUAAAUACUCUUUAAAAAUUCCAAGGAACGAGAUGUCCCUCUAAACUGCCUUCUUCCUCUUCGUGUAAUUUGACAUUAAGUGUCCUGGUGUGUUAAGCUUGCCUCUAUUUAAAUAGCCCUGCAGAAGGCCAUACCACUCAGGCUUAAGGGGACAGAAGGUACUCUGUCCUGGAAGCAUCAUGACACUAAAAGUUCAUUAAGAUCUCUAUCCCAGCUAUUACACUCCUAAGGUCACUGGGCUCUCCUCAAUAGGUAUAUUAAGCAGCAGCCUCAAAAACAGUCCUCAGUUUUAGGAUGCAAGGAAAAUAAUUCACGAAGGUGAUCAACUUUAAGUUCAAAUUAUAUUCACUCUAGAUUUUAUCAUGGCUCCUGCCCAUGAAUAUACCAUCUUCCAUUCACAUCUAAGGCAACUAGUUCAGGGUGAGAGGAAAUGGGCACUUUAUGAACAUCUGCUAUAUACAAAUCUUUACCCACCUUUUUCCUCCUUUAGAAUUUUUCUAACUCAGUGGACUCUCCAUGAUUCAAAGGAAGUCCUUGAUUUUCACUCCUUCUCACAAGGUUACCUCUUACAGGUAACAGUACCCUCUUGCCUGCAAAGGUCAGGACAAGAGGAUAGAGGAAAAAGCUAAGGGAAUCUCAGAACCGUUUAUGUGCUAAAAUUCUUAGCUUAGAUGUAUAGAUGGACAAGGAAAAGUGGGCAAGAGAAAGUAAAACUAAAAUUUAGGCAAGGAAGCCAAUUACCCAGUAAAGAGGGAGGCUAGCAUCCUAGCAUGAGAGUAUCAGACCAGACUAUCUCAGACCCUUAGUCUUGUGGAUCAAGGCACUGAUGGAGGGCACUGUAGAAAAGUGUUGAAAGCAAUAUGGCAGACACUACUGGAUUGGCAAAUUGCAUCCGCUCCUACCAAAGGAUCACACUCCCAGAAGCUAAAGGAAAGAAAUGGAGAGUGGGAGGUGUAUUUUGGGUAAAAAAGAAAAAGAAGCGCUUGUAUGAAUUUUCAUGUUAUUUCAGUGAAGUCAUAAUAGAACAGCUUCCCUUCCCAGAGCUUGCCCAGAACAGCUAUUUAAAGGGGGAGUGAGAACUGUACAAGCUUUGACUAGAUUCUGAGGUCGGAGCCUUAAUUAGAGUCACAAUUGUAUUGUACAUCUAUUUGUGUAACUGUUCAAUUAGGAGUGUAAUAGCUGGGACAGAGAUCUUAAUGAGCUUUUAGUGUCAUGAUGCUUCAAGACUGCCCUUUUUUGGUUGUUGUUAUUAUUAAGCUUUCAUAUAGGGGCUUUUCCUCUCUGCUGUCCAACUGUGUGGUUCUCCCUUCAGGCAGGUUGAAAUGCAAGACUGAGUCUUGCUAUAUCUAAACUUGGGCAUUAAAAAUGGGCUGUCUUCCCCUUAUCAUCUUCAUGAUUAGCUUGUAAACAGUUUCUUGGGUCUAUCCUGUUAUCAACAAAAACUCUAGGAAUACUGGAAUAUUAGGGCCAAUCUUUUACAGUUGAGAUAAUUGAGAUUCAGAAAGAUGAAGUGAACUACUGGACACAGCACAGAUAGUGACAGAGCCUGGGCUUGCACAUUAGUGUUCUGACCUUUCAGGAACAAAACAAUCACAAUGCCUGUACAUGUCAUAAUAAGGUCAUUCUAACACUACAAUGUACACCAGUACCCAAACUGGAUCAUUCAUUUAAAAAAAAUUCAUUCCCGAAGACAUAGUUUUUGUGGUCUUAAUAGGUAUUUUACUUAAUUUUCCUCUGCCUUUCACUACUUAGACUUGGGUACAAUUAAAGAUGAUAUUUAUAUUUUGUGUUAUAUAGAAUGAACAGCACUCAAACACAUUCUUAUUUAAGCAAAUCUGGCCUACGAAAAGCUGUAUUCAUGAACCCUCACCAAAUAAAUGGUGAGGAUGGUUUUUUGUUUUGGCUUUAGAAAAUGAUUCUCUGCCUUAAUUCCCUCACAUGUAAAAUAGGCAUAAUACUGCCAUCUACCUUACAGGAUUGUUGGGAAGAUUAAAUGAAGUAAUGCAGUUAAACUGUUUAGUAGACUGUUUCGCAGAGCUUCAAACUCAGUCAAUACUAGCUGCUUUUGUUCUUAUUCUUUUCAUUAUCACAAAAGGGUGGCCAGAAGAUUAUGCAUGCCAAC
rnacentral:lncRNA from 1 species